rnacentral:rRNA from 1 species
AUGGGCAAAACAAACGCUCGUUGGUUUAGUCCCACAUCGGCCAGCCGGGGAGAGUCGGACUGGUUUAUAAGGCAGAGCGCGGCAGCUAGCAUCGUCCCUUCUGGGACAUCCGAUAAAAUUGGAAUGAUACAGAGAAGAUUAGCAUGGCCCCUGCGCAAGGACGACACGCACAAAUCGAGAAAUGGUCCAAUUUUUUUUUGA